rnacentral:rRNA from 1 species
UACGUAGGGCGCAAGCGUUGUCCGGAAUUAUUGGGCGUAAAGAGCUCGUAGGCGGCUUGUCACGUCGGGUGUGAAAGCCCGGGGCUUAACCCCGGGUCUGCAUUCGAUACGGGCAGGCUAGAGUGUGGUAGGGGAGAUCGGAAUUCCUGGUGUAGCGGUGAAAUGCGCAGAUAUCAGGAGGAACACCGGUGGCGAAGGCGGAUCUCUGGGCCAUUACUGGCGCUGAGGAGCGAAAGCGUGGGGAGCGAACAGG